rnacentral:lncRNA from 1 species
GAUCCUUUGACGGGCUUUGGAGAGAAUAAGAAUGAGCUAUAGAAGGAGUGAACGUUUCAGCAAAGGAAUCCAGGACUUAGUCCACCAAGGAGCUUCCAUUACUUUGAAUGACUUCUGAAUGAGAGGAAAGGUCAGCAGAUUGUGCCCAAAAAAUAUUUGGCAAUGAAACAAAGCUUCCAUUUCCAAUGUAUUUAAUGUCUCAGUUUAUACCUUGCUAUUCCACAGGUUCCUUGGGUUGUUUAUAUAGUGUUAAAAUUGCAAGAAGAGAACAGAAUGUGAGAAGUCUGUUGAAUAUUAAGUUGCAGCCACUAAGUGCACCUUGCCUUUUUGCAUCAGGGUGGGGGUGGAGGUGGGUGGUCUGGUCUGUAAAUUAAAAAUUACCAGUUGCUGGAAACAACAGGGACAAGGGUGCUGUUGUGUUCAAAUCCUGCUUGCAGAUUUCUCAUGGGCAUCUGGUCAGCAACUCUGAGAACAGGAUGGUGGACUAGAUGGGCCAUUGACCUGAUGUUAAAAUUAUUUUGCAGGUUGUUAUUCAGAUUAAUUGAAUGCCACGAAACAGAGUGAAUUGUAUUAUGUAUAAUUCUUAGGCUGCCAAAUGAAACUGGAUUGUGUAGCUGUCUUGAAAAAAAAAUCAGUUGGAAUCCUAGAAUCGUAAAAUUGUAGAUUUGGAAUCCUAGAAUCGUAAAAUUGUAGAUUUGGAGGGUCAAAACCCCUGGAAUGCAGAAAUCUCAACUAAAGCAUCCAUGUCAGAUGGCCAUCUAACCUCUACUUUAAAAUAUGCACUGAAGGAGAGUCCACAACCUCCUGAGGGAGUCCACUCCACUGUUGAACAGCUUAUAUUGUCAGAAAGUUCUUCCUGAUGUUUAGUUGGAAUCUCCUUUCUUGUAACUUGAAUCCGUUGGUUCUGGUCUUACCCUCCAGAGUAGGAUUAUCACUGUUUUGCCAUCUUAUUUUAUAUGAGAUUCAAUUUAUUUUUGAAGCUUGUAAGGCAGAUGAGAAAGGUUGUGGCCAUAUUAGCAAGUGUACUGGCCAUGUGGCUCUGAGGAACAAUCAGCAAAAAUAGGUGGCGUUGAAAUUGAUGGGAGUUAGUCACUGGCAAUCCUAUCCAUGUCUACUCUGAAGUAAGUCCUGCUGAAUUACUUCUGAGGAAACAUGCAUAUUAUUUCUUAACUGUGAACUUACCCCAUGGAUGCUUCUUCGUUUACCUGUUUAAUGAGAACCCAUUAGAAUUGUUGUAAUGUGAUCAUUGCGGAGGCUCAUGUAGCCAGUUGUGACAGUGUGGCAGUGUAGAAGAUUGUUUACUCAACCCUAAAAUACAUUUCAUCAUUGACCUUUAGCAACUCAGACGUGAUCUAGAAUUAAUUUCAUUGGAAUACAGGAAGUUGCCUUAUACCAAAUCAGCCCUCAUAUCAAAUCAUUUGCCAGUCUAGUAGAAAUGGAUGAAUUCGUCAAUUCCCGCCCCCAGCCCAGUGUGCAGUUCACCCCUUAUCCACACCACGUAUACACCCCCCCAAAAAAAAAUCUUCAUGGAAACGUGUAUGCAUUUUAAAGCACAUUUCCACCAAUUCUUUCACACAAUUUUACCCAGUUUUUGGAAGUACCGUUAACUACCUCUAGUUAUGUAGUUUUGGGACUUUAUACUCACUAAUAUAUGUGUUUUUGUGAACAUUUUUGGGUAGGAAAAUUGCAUCACAAGAAGCUUGAAUAUCAAAGGAUACCUCAGUUUCAAUUUGCUUAUUGGUUUGGGAAGUGCAAAUGAGAUAGGACUAAUAUCUCCUCCAUCUUAAAUGUCUAGUCUCGUCUUUGACUGAGAGGGACUCUCCAGACUUCUAGCCAGGGACUGAACCUGAGGCAUUAUGAUCGGAUAAACAGAUGCUCUACCACCUGGCUUUCCCUGCUGAUAGCAAUAGCUUUGCUUUAUUUUAUGCUGAUAGCAAUAGCUUUGCUUUAUUUUAUGAAAUGAAAGAUCCACAAAUAUGACCAUCCACUAUAACUUCCUGUCUCAUUUUCUAUUUUGCUUUGCAUAAAAAUGGUGUACUAAAUAAUCUUGCUUUCAAAUAAAAUGUAAUACCUUAAAAAGGAAAGGAAAGAACAGAAGUCUGAAAAUGCUAAUCAAUAAAUCUUGACAGAAAUUCAACCAGUCUGAGGAUUCCCCCCCCUUUUCCUCCCCCACCCCUUUAUCCCAUCAGUAAUAAAUGAUUUGAACAUCUCAAUGGUUAUUUGCUGGUAAAAAAAAUUCAACAGAUAUAUAACAUAUCUGUAGAUAUUCAUUGCCAAUGAGAUGCUAUACUCCCAUAAAUCCAUUCAUUAUACUCAGACCAUCAAAGCUCAUCGCCGCAGCUCCAUAGAGACUCUGAACUGAUGAAUUUUGAUGGAAUAAGUAUAAUGAAUGGAUUUUUUAAAAAAUGACUGGCAUACCCGUAUCUGUUCCGGCCUUUUCUUGUUGCACUGAUUUCUGUAAAACGAAAGUUAUCUUUGAUAUUACAGUACUGCCCACAAUAGUACCUUUUCCUUUUAACCCCUCCUCAAUACUUUAUAUACAACAGAUAAGUCUGAAAUAGAUGUGUACCAAUGUUAUGCAUGCUAAGCUUCUUCAUACAUCGAUCAAAUGCACAGUAGUAGUUUUGGCAGCUGCGGCUGGUGAGCAUGCCAUGAUGGUGCAAUGUGAACAGUGGUUUAAAUGACGCAGUGCUUGGCCUCAUGUCUUGAGGAGCACAUCCACCAAGUUCUGAAAUAAGGGUACACUGGGUUACCAUAGCAACUCCAGAGAGGUUGAGUGUAUAACUUGUUGAGUCAUUCACUCUCCCAUUGGUUCAGGAAUGUAGAGAUGGGUAUAAUAGUCUCUAAGACAUUGCUUUCAUUAGGUCUUGUUGCAUGUCCUGAUGCCGUCCUGUUUGUUGUCAGGAUCUGACUCUGAAUCUGUGAGAGUCAGGGCAAGAGACUGUGAGUUGUUUUUUACACAGCAGAGUUAGCUAGCACACUGAUAGUGUUAGUAGUUCUCUCUGUACAUAUGUAUCUGUACUUUGAUGACCGGAAUAAAGGUGUAUAGUAAAAGGUAAUGGUAAUGGACCCCUGGACAGUUAAGUCCAGUCAAAGGUGACUAUGGGGUUGCGGCGCUCAUCUCUGCUUUCAGGCCAAGGGAGCUGGCGUUUGUCCCCAGACAGCUUUCUGGGUCAUGUGGCCAGCAUGACUAAACCACUUCUGGUGCAAUAGGACACUGUGAGGGAAACCAGGGCGCACAGAAAUGCUGUUUACCUUCCCGCCACAGCAGUACCUGUUUAUCUAUUUGCACUGGUAUGCUUUCAAACUGCUAGGUUGGCAGAAGCUGGGACAGAGCAAUGGGAGCUCACCUUGUCGUGUGGAUUCGAACCGCCGACCUUCCAAUCAGCAAAGCCAAGAGGCUCUGUGGUUUAGACCACAGCACCACCCAUCUUCCCUUGGUCUAUAAUAGAUAGCGAUUAGCUUUGUCUUGAGUCUGGAGACAAUAAACACCUUUUUACUUUGAACUGUGCGGGAGGGGAGUGUUUCCGUUAACCAGGGACUCUGGAAGAAGCCGUUUGCUGGGAGCAGGAAUUCUCUGAGGACUCCACUGGGGUUCUGCAUACUCUGGUGAUACAUCACACUGGUUGAGGUGUGGUGAACCACCAACUGACUUCCACAAAUCACCUUCAGGUGGCAAGGGGUGCGGCUAACCAGCAUACCCUUUCAAUGCAUAGGAGAAACAUCUCAAUCACAUCCUAUUUUGCUUGUUGUUAGCAUGAGUUUAUUGAGGUUUAAUUUUUCAGUGUUGUACUCCUUCCUUGGAGUCUCUUGGAAUUAAAUCCAUUCUAUUAUGAUAUUGUUCUUGAUUGUUUGUUUGUUUCAAAUAUUAUUUGGGAACCAAAAGGAAGAACGCCACAUAGCCCUUAAACAAAACCACAGAUUAAGAAAAAAAGGAAACUCACUGAUCACAGUUCUUAGUGUAGAACAGAUUAAAAGAAAUUCACUAACUGUUGAGAAAUUUUGGGUGUUAUCUCCUUACCAGGAAGUGAGCCCCGCUGAAGUCAAUGGGACUUACUUCUCAGUAGACAUUGUAUCAGAUUGCACCGUAAGUUAGGUAACCAAAUCAUAGUCAGAAAAAAGUAUGAACUUAUUAUUGUUUGCAUUUACCUGAAAUCUCCAUUUCCUCAAAAUAUUCAACAAGAUUGUGCUUUGAUGCUACCAAUGUACUCUAAAUAGGGGAAAAAAAUCAAAAUAUGAAGUGUUACUAGAAUAAUUUUUUCAAAAUGUGUUCUGUAGGGAGUAGGUUACUUGAAUUCUCUAUCCUUUGUUCCUGCUUUUCUGGAAGUUACAUUUUUUCUAUACACCGCAGUAUUUUCUUAAAACAAUCUCUGAAGGAAUCUACUUUUUCCCCAACCAUCCAGCUCACUGUUUAAACAUUCUUUUGUAUUCUGAUGGUUUCAUUAGUAAGGAGCUGUCUGGAGCUUUUUAAAUUUUUAUCUUUUUAAUUAAAGUAAUUUGGAUUAAAGGGAGGCAGUUGCCAUAUUAAUAAUUCCGUAAUACAGCAGUAUUUUACACUAAUAGUGGCUUCAAGGCCUUUAGUGCUUAUAAAAGACAGUAUAUAAUGGAGCCUUGGUAUUAAAUGGAAUGAAGCGUAUGAGUGCCUUUUUAAAUUUCAGGAAAAAUAGCAACAAGAAAACAGGUUAUUACAAGUGGAUUAAUGUGUCUGCUUCCUGAACUACAUUGCUGCUUUUUGCAGUGUCAACUGGAGAGCUCUAGUCCCCUCACAGAAUGACAAUUCCCAGAGUUCCCUGGGAAGAAGGAUUGAUUGUUAAACCACUCUGGAAAUUGUAGCUCUGCGGUGGGAACAGGAGUUCCCUAACAACUUUCAGCACCGGGAAGCCAUGACUGUUUGAAGUGGUAUCAUAUUAUUGUGCUUUAAAUGGAUGGUGCAAAUAUGGCCCCAAUAAAAGGGUCUCAGAGCAAGGGUUUUUCUCACCCCACUCCUUCAUAUGUGUUUCAGUCAAUGUGUAAUGAGAUUUAAGAAGCAUCUCUGUAUCUGGGCUACACUUUGGUUUUAUUCCUGAAUGGCUGUGGGGUAGCCAGUUUAUCUGGAAAUAAGGUAACCUAGUAAGCAAGUUCUAUACCUGCUUCCUGGUUAUGGAUGGGGGAGAAACUCAAUUCAGUUCACAUUUAAAGGCAAACCUACCUUACUCACAUGUUUCAUAACAGUAUGUGAACCAAAACACAGCAGUCCUUUGAUAUUUUCCAGAUUUUGCAGUGCAGUUCUUUAGCUAAGUGAUGUUUCUACAAAUGCACAUAUUGGGGUAAAGUUUGCAUAAACAUGCAAGCGUUGGCAUUAAAUUGGGUGAAUAGCUUUACAAAAAUUUCUAUACAGUAUUUGUAUAAAUACUGGUGAAUUUUCAUGAGGAGUUUUAAAAUUAAUAAAAAAAUUGCAAACUCAUGUGGAAAUGUGGAGAACCAAAUUUAAGAUUGGGGAAAAGGAGAAACGGAGGACUGAAAUUGACCUAUUCAGCCAUCCCUAUUUCAUGUUGGUAGAAUUUUCUAUUCCUUUAAUAACAUUGCUCCCACUUACUGAGACUUUUGUUCCCUCUUCCAGCCAGCAUACCAGGCACCUCUCGGUGUACAUUGAAAACAGGCCAUAGUGUCAUCUUCCAAAUUGUUGUUGUUUAGUCAUUUAGUCGUGUCCGACUCUUCGUGACCCCAUGGACCAGAGCACGCCAGGCACUCCUGUCUUCCAUCUUCCAAAUAUCCAUGGCUUAAUCUUACUCUUGGUGGAUUAAAACUGUCACUUGUGUUUUGAUCAUCUAUAAAAAGGUACAGAGCAUGUAGAGUCAGUGAAGUGGUCUAUUCCUGUCCUACCAGUUUUCCCCCACACCAGCAG